rnacentral:rRNA from 1 species
ACGAAGGGGGCUAGCGUUGCUCGGAAUGACUGGGCGUAAAGGGCGCGUAGGCGGUUUGGUUCGUUAGGCGUGAAAUUCCUGGGCUCAACCUGGGGACUGCGUUUAAUACAGCCAGACUUGAGUGUGGAAGAGGGUCGUGGAAUUCCCAGUGUAGAGGUGAAAUUCGUAGAUAUUGGGAAGAACACCGGUGGCGAAGGCGGCGACCUGGUCCAUUACUGACGCUGAGGCGCGAAAGCGUGGGGAGCAAACAGGA